GCUUGUCUCAAAGAUUAAGCCAUGCACGUGUAAGUAUAAAAUAACCUAUACUAUUGAAACUGCGAAUGGCUCAUUAUAUCAGUUAUAGUUUACAUGAUAAUAAUUUUCUACUUGGAUACCCGUAGUAAUUCUAGAGCUAAUACAUGCAUAAAGUCCCGACUUCUGGAAGGGAUGUAUUUAUUAGAUACAAAACCAAUGCCCUUCGGGGCUCCUUGGUGAUUCAUGAUAACUAUACGAAUCGCACGGCCUUGCGCCGGCGAUGGUUCAUUCAAAUUUCUUCCCUAUCAACUUUCGAUGUUUGGGUAUUGGCCAAACAUGGUUGCAACGGGUAACGGAGGGUUAGGGCUCGACCCCGGAGAAGGAGCCUGAGAAACGGCUACUACAUCCAAGGAAGGCAGCAGG
rnacentral:rRNA from 1 species